AAUCAUGCAUGAGUAGUACAGAGUGAUUCUUCACACUGGCCUCCUGCACAAGCUUCAUAUCGCAACAGAAGCCAAGCGACAGAGUCUCUCAUGCCUUGUUCAUGGAAAAAAGCAAGGAGCAAUCCGUAGCCUCAGUUCCGCUCGAGCUUCUUGAAAUCGAAGUUCGGAGGUCUGGAGAGAACGACAGAAGGGAUCCGACGCCGACGGAGAGGCAUUGGAGUUCGGUCGGAGGCCGGUGACUUGAUGGACGAAGAUGACGGGGCCAACUCGGACGCUUUUGCGUUUCUCCAUGCUCCUCUUCUCCCAUAAAAAUCUGAACAUAAAAAUUGUGUCGCAUCACGAGGAGUCUACACCCUGACUGAGAAAUCUCUACGUUUUCCUUUUCCCUUAGCGACGACGUCGGUGAAGUUUGCAAUUAAUGUCUUCCUCCAUACACUAUAAAUGAAGUACUGACAGUGUAUAGGAUAACCUUGAAAGAGCAGUUGAUGAUGGUGUGAAUACUUAUAAGGCCGUGUGCUGGGAUAGCCGUAAUGUACCUGGGGCUGCGGCAACUGAAAUUAACUUAGGUAGAAAACUGAUGGAAAUAUCCUUCAAGAAGAAAUGGGAUCAUGUGAUAUGCACCAUACAUAAGUAAAGUUUUUCCCUUAAACAACCAAAGGCUUGAUGAUUUAGUUAGGAAACCAAUGCAACAGUAACACCGGCCUUUCUAGUUCCGCUUUUGACUCCCCUAUUGCCACCAAGGAUGGGUUCGCUCCUCAGCGAUGAUUUGCAAGAACUCCUCAUUGAUCUAGCUAUCGUCUUCACAAGGCAAAGUCUUACUAUCAUAAUGGCUCUGAUACCAUUUGGUAUCAACCUAGAGUACGUGAUCAAGGCCAUCUUAGGAUAAGAGCCUACAUUUCAUCACAGGGCGAGGUCUUACUAUCAUAAUAGCUCCAAUACCAUUUGGUCCACGUGGCAAGUUCAUCACUGUGACAACCUAGAGUACUUCAAAACAACAUUUUACACUUGUGGCCUCUUGACAACAGCAAUCUAUCAUCAAACCUUACCUGACUAGGCCAUCUUGGGGAUAAGAUCCUACAUUUUGUCACACUAUCAUGCAGUGAGAACUUUCUAUAAAGGCUGCCUCUUCAUAAGAUUAGGUCUUCCUAUCAUAAUGGCUCUGAUAUCAUUUAGUAUUAAUUCAGAGUAUGUAAUUGAGUCAUCUUAAGAUAAGAGCCUACAUUUCAUCACAAGAUGAGGUCUUACUAUCAUAAUGGCUCUAAUACUAUUUGGUCCAUAUGAAAAAUUCAAAUUCAUCGUUGUGACAAUCUAGAGUACUUUAAAAUAACUUUUUACACUCGUUGCCUCUCGACAAUAGCAAUCCAUCAUCGCACCUUACCUAACUGGGCCAUCUUGAGGAUAAGAUAUUAUAUUUCGUCACAUUGUCAUGUAAUGAGAACUCUUCAUGGAGGCUAUCACUUCACAAGGUAAGGUCUUUCUACCAUAAUGGCUCUGAUACCAUUUAGUAUCAUUCUAGAAUAUGUGAUUGA